GGUGGAGCGAUUUGUCUGGUUAAUUCCGAUAACGAACGAGACUCUAGCCUAUUAAAUAGACGAUAUAUUAUUAGUUUAUCGAGCUUCUUAGAGGGACAGGCAGCUUCUAGCUGCACGAGAUUGAGCAAUAACAGGUCUGUGAUGCCCUUAGAUGUCCGGGGCUGCACGCGCGCUACAAUGAAAAUAGCAACGUGCAUUAAAACCUUUUCUGGUAAGAAUUGGUAAACACGAAAUAUUUUCGUGCUUGGGAUAGGGGAUUGAAAUUAUUGCCCUUAAACGAGGAAUUCCCAGUAAGUGCAAGUCAUCAGCUUGCGUUGAAUACGUCCCUGCCCUUUGUAC
rnacentral:rRNA from 1 species